ACUGAACCCUAGAGCCCCUGACUGUGGGCUCCACCCAGGCAAGAGCCAAUGGAACUGGAGCCUCCUGCCCCCAACAGGAUUCCUCACAUCCCAGGACCAGCUGGAAAAGGUGGUGAGAGUUGGAAAGAGACUGCUCAGUGAGGACUGCCCUGCGAACCAGCUUGGAUUCAUCCCGUUCACCUCCACGUUCUGCACUCGGGGCCGAGGGAAGGGAGGCAGCCCAGGCAGCUAGAGAACUUGAUGAAACACACUCAAUCUGAAUCUCGCUUGAUCGUCAUGCUGACCCAGUGAGUCUACUCAGGGUCAGGCAUCCUUUCCGACUACUCACUCAGCAGCGGAUCCCCACCCGCCUCUGACUCCCAGUGUCUUUCGGCUCCAACGUAAGUUCACCGAACGUCUAAGAGCUGAGGAUUCAAAGGCAUGUAAGACCGCCCCUGCCCUCAGCUGCAAGACCUGUCCGCGAUCCUACGAGCCCCAUUCCGCCCUCUUUCCCCGACCUUGGUCCCCCAUGGGCCCUACAACCAGGUCCCCGACUGACACCUUGACCAGCGAACACAGCAAACAGGCCCGCAGAUGCCGCAGGUCCUUCGGCACCGUCUCCAGGGCCAUCUUCGCCGAUGGGAAGAACAACAGGGAGAUAGACGACCACAGCCUGUGCACCCGCAGGAAGUAAAUAGCUCGUUACCCAGAAUGCCCACCACUUCCGGCGCUUAGACUUCCUCUUCCGGUGUGGGCGGACGCCAGCUCCGCCCCUACCCCCGCCAGAGGAGAUGGUUUCUCCCGCCAGCAGGCGGGGAGGCUGGGCGGCCGGCCGCCACCUGGGCCGGAGCGCGUCGCAGCCACCUGAGCCCGCCGAGGGCGCGGCGGAGGCUGUGUGGGGUAGUCAGCGGGCCCCCGGGGCGGGGGGGCGGCUGCGCUUGCGCGGGAGUGUGUCGGGCUGAGCCGCAGCGCCGAGACGCGGGCUGUUUGAUCUGGGCUGGUGGCCCUGGGCGUCGGUCCUGUUCCCCGAUGGUAACCCGAAGUUUGUUUUUUUUUGUUUUGUCUCCCCGUUUUAGAAGCAUUGGGGGCAGUGAAUCCACUGUCUCCCUCUGGAUUGUCUCUGCAGAGACCGAGAAGAAAUCCAGGGACAGCCCCACCCCUCCUUCCUAACUGCGAGAGCGCUAUAGGGUUUCCACUUGCUUCCCACAGGAAUGCUGGCCUGGGAGCUACGGCGGAAAAAAAUGCGUAUUUAUCUUUUAAAACUCCGUCUGUUUGCUCGUUCCGGCUGAUAAUUUAUACUUUGCGCAGUUCUUAGCGCUUAGACACGGUUCCUUUACUAAAGACCAUUUGUAGGAGAUUAGGUGUCCUUUUUUUCCCUUUCAUUUCACCGUCUAGGAAGCGAAAUGCCUUGUUCUAUAGGCACUAAACCACCACCCCUACCAAACCUUUCUCGGGGAAGCAGAAGGGGAACUUGUGCCUUGUGAGGAAGCGACAAAGGCCCCUUCUGGCCCUGGAGACUUCACGCCAAUGGAGCACCAGCUCUCUGUCCUCGCAAUAGCCCGAGUGCAGGCAGAACGCAGUCAUUUGUGUUUAUCUGAGAGGAGCUUUGGGAUAUAAAUAGUUUCAGGCCCCGCUGCGCUGUCAUUCCAGCCCAGCCUCCUGAUUGAGCUGCUUCCGGGCGGGCUUUCUUCUUGUUGGCGGUCCCAUGCUGUGUUCAGAUGGGCUCUGUGACAGGUUUGGAUGUUUUCUAUCACUGAAUAAAACUUUCCACUUUGGAACAUAUUUUCUACACUCUAUUAUCUCAUGUAAGUCCUGCAACAACUAUUAAGUAGGCCCAUUUUAUGGACUGAAAAAGCGAGGCACAGAGUAUUUGCCCAAGGUCUGAGUCACUGAAGUAUGAUAAUGUGUGAAGUGAACAGUAUAAUAAUAAUGACUGAAGCACAGUAAGAAUCCAGUCAUGCUUUCUCCUUCCCUGAUCUCACUAAGCCACACUUUUAGGGGCUUACAAACCAGUUCUUAUUGCCAAGCCCUCUACUCUACCCUAUCCUUUCAUGAAUCGGAGCCUAGCCUCUGAUAACAUAAAUAAUUUACUUCUCUUGAUGUAGAAAGAGAUGACGUUGUUACCCUGAGUGACAGUCACGACAGAACAAAACCACAAGACCAGACCACAUUUGUGGAUAAAUAUAUUAGCAAAUAAAUAUAUUUCUUAACAUAGUGCCUGAAAAAAAAAAAAAAAAAA
rnacentral:lncRNA from 1 species